rnacentral:tRNA from 1 species
GGAGAGGUGCCAGAGUGGUCGAAUGGGCCUGACUCGAAAUCAGGUGUGCCCUUCGGGGCACCGGGGGUUCGAAUCCCUCCCUCUCCGCCA